rnacentral:rRNA from 1 species
UAGUCCACGCUGUAAACGAUCAAUACUAGGUGUGCGGGGACUGACCCCCUGCGUGCCGCAGUUAACACAAUAAGUAUUGCACCUGGGGAGUACGAUCGCAAGGUUGAAACUCAAAGGAAUUGACGGGGGCCCGCACAAGCGGUGGAUUAUGUGGUUUAAUUCGAAGCAACGCGAAGAACCUUACCAGGGCUUGACAUCCUACUAACGAAGUAGAGAUACAUCAGGUGCCCUUCGGGGAAAGUAGAGAC